GACGAACGCUGGCGGCGUGCUUAACACAUGCAAGUCGAACGGAAAGGCCCUGCUUUUGUGGGGUGCUCGAGUGGCGAACGGGUGAGUAACACGUGAGUAACCUGCCCUUGACUUUGGGAUAACUUCAGGAAACUGGGGCUAAUACCGGAUAGGAGCUCCUGCUGCAUGGUGGGGGUUGGAAAGUUUCGGCGGUUGGGGAUGGACUCGCGGCUUAUCAGCUUGUUGGUGGGGUAGUGGCUUACCAAGGCUUUGACGGGUAGCCGGCCUGAGAGGGUGACCGGCCACAUUGGGAAGGAGAUACGGCCCGGACUCCGACGGGAGGAAGAGGGGGGAAAUAUUGAAAAAGGGGCGGAGGCCUGAGGCAGCACCGCCGGGGGGGGAAGGAGGGCCUUGGGGUUGUAACCCGCUUUCGCCUGGGAAGAAGGGGGAGUGACGGUAAUGGGUAAAGAAGCACCGGCAAACUACGUG
rnacentral:rRNA from 1 species